AAGAGGCCUAGCUGGAAUAAUGUAAGAUUGCACAUUAGGAGGGAGGGCGUAGAGGUGGAUACCUGAGUCCAGCACACCAGGAGGUUGACAAGAGCAUGGAGCAGCCAAGAACUGCCAAAGAAAAGCCAGUGUCUGGGAACUGCUAAAGCAGCCACUGAUGCUUGAACAGCACCUUCUACUUUACAAAGAAUUCUCACAGGUCAGAGUUUCUGGGAUAUAGUAGGUAAUACUUUCAAGACGUCGUCCUCUUCUGUGAAAAGUGGUCCUUCCAAUGGGAAGAAGGAAAGCAGGCUACACUGUCUAUAGUUCGUGGGCACUGGUCCUUUGUUAUCUCCAUGAUACAUAAAAAUAUUAUUAGUGUGAACGCCAUGGUUUCUCAGAGAUUUCAGAACCCAACUCAGGGUUUUAAGUCGUCAGUGUCUUCUUAAAACUCAGACAAGCAAUCAGUGGGAAACCCCCAAAAUGGUAAGAAUUAGUUCAGGUGACUCUGCUUUGGCUGCUGUCUGAACUGAGUAAUCAACAUAAAAGCAGGCUGACAUUUCUACCUCAAACUUUCCAUGCUUGUUAAAAUACUUUGCUUGCUGAAGUAUUCAACUGAACUAAAUUUCAUCUAACAUCUGGCCAUUGUAUAAACACAGCAAUGAAAACAUGUCUUGUUGCCUCCACACUGGGUAUAAUUUUAGAAAUCCAAUUAGUGUUACAUCCUUUGUGUGCACUUUUCUUUUUCUUUUCUGUUUCAAUUAAUUUUGAGCGCCUACCUGGAAUUAUAAGAUUUCAAGUAUUUAGCACACACAUUUCAGCAGCAUAAAGCAGCCAGAUUGAAGAAUAGGGCUUUAUAGCAUUUCCUCAUGACUCUAAGAUACUGUUUAAUUGCUUUGUCCUUGUAAUUCACACUUACUCGGUAGAGUGUCAAGCCCCUUAGAGCCCAGGGAUGAGGUCACCGGGAAAGAGAAGUAUACAGGAUAGAUAGGACAUAUUCGCAGCCACAGAAUCUAGAGGGGGUGACAGGCAUCUUGUUUCACCAUAAUAUGACAAAUCCUGUGAGAGAUAUACAUUAAUUUAGCUCCCAAAGAUUAUUCACCCAUCAUAUUGGUUGCACAUUCAUAAAUGACUAUCUCCAGCCUUGUACUGAAGGUCUAUAGCCACUAACACUUGAGAAGACCUGAAACCAAGAACCUAGGAGGUGCAAAUAAGUACUCACUGAGCUAAGUACUCAGCACCCAUGCAUCUGGGUGGACAGGAUUUGCCGAACACCCUGAGGGUAGACCAUUUAUUUAGCACUGCCAGUGAGAUGUUGAAGUCUUUCCAUUUAGCCUCACUGUGAUGGUAGCUGAUAUGCUAUAGUCUGCUUUGCAGAUGUGGACAUCAUGAAUGCUGUGUGUGCAAACCUAGUCUUCACUGUCUGUUUCAGGGCCUACCCCAGUAUAUACCCUGUAGGCGUUAACAAAGUACGAAUGACUUUAUGGGCCCCACCACCAUUUGGUGUAGAUUUAACUCAAAUACCAAAACCUCCCGUUCAUUUUAGUGGAAGUGCACAGCCUACAACUGAAUUUUUAAACACCAUCAAGUUUAUGGUUUACUUUUAAAAACAUUUGGAUAUUUAUUUGUAUGAUCCUAGUAGUAUGGUAUACAACAUAGGAAACAGAACCCGGACACACAGCUAACACUUUUAUUAGAUUUUCCAAAUAUUAGUCAUUACAGUUUAAAUCCAUUUAACAUUAACUCUAAUUUUGCAAUAAUAUUAAGUUAAUAAAUAAUUGUAAAUAUAACCAGGCAUUCAUUUUAUUUUUCUUAGUUCCUCAUAAGUUGCAGGUUUAUCGUGAUCUGGGUGAUAAAAUGAUAAAUAAUUGUUUACAUAUUUCCAUAAAUUGCUGUUUAUUUGAU
rnacentral:sRNA from 1 species